rnacentral:rRNA from 1 species
UACAGAGGGGGCAAGCGUUGUUCGGAAUUACUGGGCGUAAAGGGCGCGUAGGCGGCCCGCUAAGUCGAACGUGAAAUCCCCGAGCUCAACUCGGGAACUGCGUCCGAUACUGGCGGGCUUGAAUCCGGGAGAGGGAUGCGGAAUUCCAGGCGUAGCGGUGAAAUGCGUAGAUAUCUGGAGGAACACCGGUGGCGAAGGCGGCAUCCUGGACCGGCAUUGACGCUGAGGCGCGAAAGCUAGAGGAGCAAACGGG